UACAGAGGUCUCAACCGUUGUUCGGAUUCACUGGGCGUAAAGGGUGCGUAGGCGGUCGCGUAAGUCAGGUGUGAAAUCCCGGGGCUCAACCCCGGAACUGCACUUGAUACUGCGUGGCUAGGGUACUGGAGAGGAGACUGGAAUUUACGGUGUAGCAGUGAAAUGCGUAGAUAUCGUAAGGAAGACCAGUGGCGAAGGCGAGUCUCUGGACAGUUACCGACGCUGAGGCACGAAGGCCAGGGGAGCAAACGGG
rnacentral:rRNA from 1 species